AUGUGCCACCGUAACACCGUUAAAGUCCUCCCACCGCCAGUAGAACAAGUCUUACUGGAGACGACGGUGACGUUAACCUGCGUUGUGUCCAAUCUUCCUUCUGGAGUUAACGUUACCUGGAUGCAAGAAAAGAAGCCUCUGAAAUCAGAGAUUGCUGAGCAGCCUGGACAGAAUCCCGACAGCGUGAUCAGCAAAUUAGACAUUUCUACUGAAGCCUGGCUGAGUGGCGUUACUUUUGAAUGUGUGGUGUACCAUCAGAAUCUACCGACUCCACUGAGAGAUUCCAUCCACAAGGAGACAGGACUUUUUUGGUUGAUUUAUAUUUGUCUCAAAUAUUCUGCUGUGAUUAAUCCGCUGGAGCUAUCAGUGUCGGUCCUCCUGCCACCAACAGAAGAAAUCUCCGCUCAGAGGUUUCUCUCCCUCACCUGUUUAGUGAGAGGAUUCUCCCCCCGAGAGAUCUUCGUCAAGUGGACAAACAAUGACAAGCCAGUUAAUCCCAGUAACUACAAGAACACCGAGGUGAUGGCGGAGAGUGACAACACCUCCUUCUUCAUCUACAGCCUGUUAUCCAUUACAGCGGAGGAGUGGGCCAGCGGUGCUUCUUACUCCUGUGUGGUGGGACAUGAAGCGAUUCCAUUGAAGAUCAUCAACAGAACAGUCGAUAAAUCCAGCGAUUCAAUAGAUCGCACUUGGAUUGAAGACUGUGAGGAUGAUAACAGCAACAUCUGGAAAACUGCUUCCACGUCCAUCACCUUGUUCUUCCUGAGUAUUUUCUACAGCGCUGCCGUCACUUUUGUGAAGACCAAAGCACAGGUUGAAACAACAAGGACUCCAAACACUGAACUCUGGGAACGUACACGAUAA